UACGAAGGGGGCUAGCGUUGUUCGGAAUUACUGGGCGUAAAGCGCACGCAGGCGGAUUGUUAAGUCAGGGGUGAAAUCCCGGGGCUCAACCUCGGAAUUGCCUUUGAUACUGUCUAUCUUCGAGUUCGGGAGAGGUUGGCGGAAUUCCUAGUGUAGAGGUGAAAUUCGCAGAUAUCAGGAAGAACACCCGUGGCGAAAGCGGCUCUCUGGAACGGUACUGACGCUGAGACGCGAAAGCGUGGGGAGCGAACAGG
rnacentral:rRNA from 1 species